rnacentral:rRNA from 1 species
ACGGAAUAGAUACCCCGGUAGUCCACGCCCUAAACGAUGUCUACUAGUUGUCGGGGAUUCAUUUCCUUGGUAAACGCAGCUAAACGCGUGAAAGUAGACCGCCUGGGGAGUACGGCCGCAAGGUUAAAACUCAAAGGAAUUGACGGGGACCCGCACAAGCGGUGGAUGAUGUGGAUUAAUUCGAUGCAACGCGAAAAACCUUACCUACGCUUGACAUGCCAGGAACUUUCCAGAGAUGGAUUGGUGCCCGAAAGGGAACCUGGACACAGGUGCUGCAUGGCUGUCGUCAGCUCGUGUCGUGAGAUGUUGGGUUAAGUCCCGCAACGAGCGCAACCCUUAUCCUUAGUUGCUACGCAAGGGCACUCUAGGGAGACUGCCGGUGACAAACCGGAGGAAGGUGGGGAUGACGUCAAGUCCUCAUGGCCCUUAUGUGUAGGGCUUCACACGUCAUACAAUGGUCGGUACAGAGGGUCGCCAACCCGCGAGGGGGAGCCAAUCCCAGAAAACCGAUCGUAGUCCGGAUUGCAGUCUGCAACUCGACUGCAUGAA